rnacentral:tRNA from 1 species
GCUAUGUUGUGAUAGUUCAGUUGGCAAGAGCAUGAGACUCUUAAUCUCAGGGCUGUGGGUUUGAGCCCCAUAUUGGGCA